ensembl:snRNA U1 U1 spliceosomal RNA
UUACUUACCUUCUGGAUCAUGUAGCCAGUGGGUCCAGGGCGAGACUUAUCUAUUGAACACCAGCUUAUCUGCCCUUUGCGAUUACCCCAAAUGUAGGUAUAAACUCGGCCGUAUAAUUUCUGGCGU